rnacentral:sRNA from 1 species
CCCUAGCCAAGACAUAUGUGGCAUCCUUUUUCUUGCUCCUUUAGCAAGGAAAAGAUAUAGCGGAUGGCUGGAAAUAGC